rnacentral:misc_RNA from 1 species
UCAAGCACAUUGAAGAAACAUCCCUUGAGGAUGGUUCUUCCUGAGUAUAAACGUAGAAACAAGGAACCACCGGUAGCUCCAGGUCAACCGUUCUUAUCCUUGGAAUUAAAGGGGAAGAAUUGACANAACAGUCUCAGAUUGCUCAUUCUUAUGCAUUUUCUUGGAAUGAGAAGCCAAACUUCCAGCUUCAGAAAGUGCUUUACCCAAAGCCUCAAGAUCCAUGUCCUCAUCACUUUCAUAAUCCAAAUCCUCCAGCCACUCGGUUUUUGAAACUGAAGCAGGAGAAGUCGUCACAGGAACCACAUCUUCAGA